rnacentral:rRNA from 1 species
UGACUACAGGGGUAUCUAAUCCCUUUCGCUCCCCUAGCUUUCGUCCCUCAGUGUCAGUGCAGACCCAGCAAGGCGCCUUCGCCACCGAUGUUCUUCCCAAUAUCUACGCAUUUCACCGCUACACUGGGAAUUCCCCUUGCCCCUAUCGCACUCUAGCCACCCAGUUUCAAUUGCCCUUAUAGAGUUAAGCUCUACGCUUUAACAACUGACUUGGAUAACCACCUACGGACGCUUUACGCCCAAUAAUUCCGGAUAACGCUUGCCUCCUCCGUAUUACCGCGGCUGCUGGCACGGAGUUAGCCGAGGCUGAUUCGAUAGGUACCGUCAUUGUGUUCUUCCCUAUCAAAAGGGGUUUACAACCAGUAGGCCUUCCUCCCUCACGCGGUCUUGCUCCGUCAGGCUUUCGCCCAUUGCGGAAAAUUCCCCACUGCUGCCUCCCGUAGGAGUCUGGGCCGUGUCUCAGUCCCAGUGUGGCUGAUCAUCCUCUCAGACCAGCUACUGAUCGUCGCCUUGGUAGUCUCUUACACUACCAACUAGCUAAUCAGACGCGAGCUCUUCCUCAGGCCAUAUAAGUUUUACCUCUCGGCACAUCGGGUAUUAGCAGUCGUUUCCAACUGUUGUCCCCAUCCUAAGGGUAGAUUCUCACGCGUUACUCACCCGUCCG